rnacentral:rRNA from 1 species
AUUCGUCGGGGGAGUAUACUGGCGGACGGGUGAGUAACGCGUAGGCAACCUGCCCUCAAGUCUGGGAUAACCUCUGGAAACGGGGGCUAAUACCGGAUGUGGUCCAGAUGGCGCCUGCUGUUUGGAUUAAAGCUGGUUUACUAGCGCUUGAGGAUGGGCCUGCGUUCCAUUAGUUAGUUGGUGAGGUAACGGCUCACCAAGGCGACGAUGGAUAGCUGGUCUGAGAGGACGAUCAGCCACACUGGGACUGAGAUACGGCCCAGACUCCUACGGGAGGCAGCAGUGGGGAAUAUUGCGCAAUGCCCGCAAGGGUGACGCAGCGACGCCGCGUGGGUGAAGAAGCUCUAAGGAGUGUAAAGCCCUGUCAGAGGGGAAGAACGGCAGUGUUUCGCAAGGGGCACUGUGUGACGGUACCCUCAGAGGAAGCUCCGGCUAACUCCGUGCCAGCAGCCGCGGUAAUA